AGACAACUCUCAACAACGGAUAUCUUGGCUCUCGCAACGAUGAAGAACGCAGCGAAAUGCGAUACGUAGUGGUGAAUUGCAGAAUUCCGUGAAUCAUCAAAUCUUUGAACGCAAAUUGCGUCCGCGGCUUCGGCCAAGGGCAUGUUUGCCUCAGCGUCGGGUU
rnacentral:rRNA from 1 species